rnacentral:rRNA from 1 species
UACAGAGGGUGCAAGCGUUGUUCGGAAUUAUUGGGCGUAAAGGGCGCGUAGGCGGUGCGGUAAGUCUGUAGUGAAAUCUCUGGGCUCAACUCAGAGUCUGCUGCAGAAACUGCCGUGCUUGAGUGUGGGAGAGGUGAGUGGAAUUCCCGGUGUAGCGGUGAAGUGCGUAGAUAUCAGGAGGAACACCGGUGGUGUAAACGGCUUUCUGGACCAUAACUGACGCUGAUGCACGAAAGCUAGGGGAGCAAACAGG